GAGACAGUUCGGUCCCUAUCCGUCGUGGGCGUAGGAAAUUUGAGAGGAGCUGUCCUUAGUACGAGAGGACCGGGAUGGACAUACCUCUGGUGUACCAGUUGUCGUGCCAACGGCAUAGCUGGGUAGCUAUGUGUGGACGGGAUAAGUGCUGAAAGCAUCUAAGCAUGAAGCCCCCCUCAAGAUGAGAUUUCCCAACUUCGGUUAUAAGAUCCCUCAAAGAUGAUGAGGUUAAUAGGUUCGAGGUGGAAGCAUGGUGACAUGUGGAGCUGACGAAUACUAAUCGAUCGAAGACUUAAUCAA
rnacentral:rRNA from 1 species